rnacentral:rRNA from 1 species
CGGAGGGUGCAAGCGUUAUCCGGAUUCACUGGGUUUAAAGGGUGCGUAGGCGGGCAGGUAAGUCCGUGGUGAAAUCUCUGAGCUUAACUCAGAAACUGCCAUGGAUACUAUUUGUCUUGAAUAUUGUGGAGGUAAGCGGAGUAUGUCAUGUAGCGGUGAAAUGCUUAGAUAUGACAUAGAACACCAAUUGCGAAGGCAGCUUACUACACAGUUAUUGACGCUGAGGCACGAAAGCGUGGGGAUCAAACAGGAUUAGAUACCCUGGUAGUCCACGCCCUAAACGAUGAUUACUCGACAUCAGCGAUACACUGUUGGUGUCUGAGCGAAAGCAUUAAGUAAUCCACCUGGGAAGUACGAUCGCAAGAUUG